ACAAAGAUCAACCCAUGGAGCUCUCGCCCUUGAUUGUCCAAACGCAAUUCUUGUUCCAAUAGAAAUAUCAAGCCAAGAAUUGUGCCUGGACAUCUGUGGCUGGUGAUCCCCGGUCUUCAGAAUCAGC
rnacentral:pre_miRNA from 14 species